GCGACCGACGUCAUUUCCGCAGGCGCUGUAGGCCCCACCCACGCACUUCCCGGUGCACGUGAUGCGGACAGGUUCUAUUAAGCCCUGGCUAGCCUGGAAGCAUAGCCUGUCCUCAACUAACAGAGAUCCAUCCACUGCUUCUGCCUUGAGGGUGGCUGGAAUUAAAGGGAUCAAAACAGCACUCGAGAAUCAGCAGGAUCGCUCAACAGGUAGAAGUGCUGGCCUCACAGACCUGAUGACCUGAGAUCAAUCCCCAGAGUCCAUGUAAAGGUGCUGGGAUUCAAGACAUGCACCACCACCAAAUGUCCAGAAGUUUUAAUACAUCCAAAAAAACUACUCAAUGAGACAGAAAACUGUAAUAAAAAAACUAUAAACAUUCAACGGAGCAGAGCUAUCCUUGAAGAAAUGAAGGAAAAACUAUUAUCAAACCUUCCCUCAACACACAAUCAUGACAACAAAGAGUCUUCAUAUUUUUAUGUAGCUAGAAUAAUGCUUGAUAUUGAAAUGGUAUUCAAAAUUAUUUGUUAACUGAAAUCACAUUAAGAAAAGGUGCUUUAGUUUGGGGUUUUAAAAAAAUACUUCAUUUGUUCUCCUUGUUUACAAAGCUUUUUGGU